UGAUCACCAUUUGGAAGAGGAAAGUAAGACCCUUGCCCGUUUUUUCUCAUCCCCUCAAGUACUAAUUGCCAUUUGGAAAAGGAAGAUGAAAUUGCCAUUUGGAAAAGAAACGGAAGACCCUUGCCCCGCUUCUCUCUUCCUCUGAAGUACAAAUUGCCAAUUUGGAAAGGAAGUACAAAAUGCCAUUUGGAAAAG